GAAGUCUUGCGUGUCUAACGUCUAAUGAUGAUUAAAAUAUGCUAAUUAAUUCCAUAAAUAUCUCCACUGCGUCGAAUAAUAAUUCGACGCGUGUACAUUCUUGCCCUAGGAUAUUUCAGACGCUUUUGUUACGCCCACACAAAGGGCUAACGUUCUUCUUGAUCUUCUCUUUCUUCUUCUUCUGCAUGUCUACGUGAAAGAUGUUUCUGGUUCCGGCGAAUCGAUUCGCGAAGAAGCGUUAUAUGCAAUUCCUCCGUUUUCAUGGCGGAUUGAUCGGGAAAAAGUUUGUUAAGCUUCUUCAUAUUACAGCCAUCUGAUCCUCAGCAUAUUUUCAGAACUCUGACUCAAUCUCUUGCACCGCAUGUUGAUCGCCGAUCGCGUCCCGGGACGAUAGGAUAUUUGGAGUCGCCAACUCUACAAAAAAGGUAAAUGGAAAGUACUCAUAUCGAUAGUGUUUCCAUAUGGAUAACAUAGCAAGAGGUGUUUGUAUGAUGCCUUCACCACAUUGUAUUGUUUCUAGGGUAUGUUUUAAGAUGUUAAUAAGCUAGUCUGUUAUAAUAUAGAGGUUAUUAUCGAAUUAUUCCCGCUUGAUAACACAGACCUAUCCAGUAUUAGGCUCAAACCUAUAUUUUCAAGUUCUAGCCUUCUAGGUUAGAACUUGCAUGUAAAAGGUACGUCGUGUACGAAUUUGGUUAGGGUGUAUCAUGACGUAUUCCCAUGCUUCUAACACUGGUAUGGUACAUAUGUUGGCCUGCUCUGGCUUGUCCUGAUUGUCUUCUCGAGAAAUCUUUGUGUUGGGUAGAGCUCUAAUUCAAUUGCUGUGACUUCUUGGCAUGAUGGUUGGAAGUUUGAAGGUUGAAUUCACCCGGACAAGUGAGCUUGAUAGAGGGUGUCAAGAGUUUUAUACAAAUACAUAACUUUGCCUUUGUGUGAUCGUAAUACUUGGCCAUAAUUGUAGGUAACUCAUUUCACGUUGUAAUGUAGAGACUUAUUCGUCAUUCUCAGACAAUGUAGAAUCUAGGUAGAUUUUGUGAGGAAGGGUGAACUAAGUCCUUGUGCAUUUAAGUCCAUAAAAACUAUGUCAAACAUGUUCUCUAAAUUUUUGUUGACAGUGUGAAGUUUCGAAGUUCAAAGUUGAACACUUAAAACUGCAUGAUGUGUAGUUUUAGAACCAUAUUCAUAUUAUAGAAGAAAAACUCUAACGUCUUUGGAUGUGUGUGCUGCACCUGUUACUUGACAAAGAAUGGUUCGUUAGUACUUGAUAUUGGCAUAUCUUUUGUCUUUUAAGGCUUUAGAGGGCUGUAUUUUGCCCUUCCUUCAUGCCUGUUAAAAAAAAUGCCUAAUGGGAAUACGGAAGUCAUGUUUGAAUUUGAGAUAUGUUGGACUUUUGAUUUCAAAAGGAUACGAUGCAGGGCAGACUUUGUUGAUACAGAAAUAGAACUACAAGAGUAUCGAAGAGUGCCCUCCAAGAAGGUAAGAUUCCUUGUUCCUCUACUACGCCGAUAUAAUUCCCUUAGAAAUUCAUUGACCCCUAGUUAUUCUAAUCCUAUCCGUAUUAAUAUGUAAGAUUUUUGUUGCCAAUAGGAGAUUAUAUUAAUAAGGAAUGCUAAUAAUGGCAAAUCAAAUUAGAGACAUUGAUCAUAUCCAAUUAAACAUCUUUUCCGUGAACUAUUGCUAAAAGGACACAGAUCGUUUUAAUCAUGCCUUUGUCCCUAAGCCUGGUCUCUCUAGUCUCUUUUAGGCAGGUCGGGUGAGUAGAUGGAUUAGAGUUCAAUAAGGACGGAACUUGGUAUUGGGAAGAGAUUUAUUGAUACUAGAAUAAUACUACAAUGUAUCGAAGAGAAAACGCCUUGUUCCUCAGUUUAUAUGUACAAUCACUUCAAAUUUUCUUGAUGGAUAUUUCUUCCAGUAAACAUGUAUUUGUAGAGACAAUACUAAGUAGGAAUUCUACUCAAGCCAAGCUAAAUUUGGGACACUAAUCAUGCCCAAUUAGUUCUCUUCUCCCUAGUCCAUAUGCUAAUAUUUAACGGAUAUAGAUUUCUUUCUUUCUCGUCCCUUCACUCUGAAUUCACUAUCCCGGGCCCUUGGAUUAAUUCUUCCUUCGUCCCUAAUGAAGAUACUUGGUGCAAGUCGAAAUUAUAGUAACCAAAAAAGAACUGACAUGUUUUAAGUGGAGAACUGAUGCCUGUUUCCAAUGCAAUAGGGAUGCUCUUUGCAGUAUUGUACCAUGAAAUACAUGAAAACAGAGUUUAUGUAAUGAAUUUUCUGUUUAGAUAGAUAAACUAAGAGGAGGUUAUUGAUCUCAGUGUUUGUUGAUACCCUAUAUUGUACCGUGCAGAGUGGUGUUCAUUGAGUUUGCUAAAAGACAAUUAGAAUCAUCUUAGGAAUUUUAAUGCAUAAACGAAUUCUUAAGGAAAUUCACUAGUCAGAUAAUUUCAUACCAUGUAAAGUAGCUUAUAAGGGAUAGAACUUGUUGAAGAGCUAGUGUGCUUGACAGUUAAGUGCGGAUGACACAGUUUGUCUGAACGGAUUCUUUGUGUAUGCACCAUUAUCUGUGUAGCUUUUGCUGGGGAACCUGUUAUCUGUCAAUAGUGUUAGGCCAGAACCAAGAAGUUUCAGCAGAUCUUUCGAUUAGUUUGGAAUAGUGUCUAGUUGGUCUUUUGAGAAGUUUCACUGGUGCAGAGAGUUCAUGAAUGAUAGAACAAUUCUCAUAUGAUAGUAACAAACAAAUGCUAGCAUCUUUUAAUCAGAAUAAGUGCAUACAUGCCUAAUUGAAGUGAAAAAAUAGGCCUGUUUGAUAAUUAUUGAAUUACCAUAAAUUUCCUUUGCUACAAGGCUUCAAUUAUCUUUUUCUUUUUCCUUGUAUUCGGACCAGUUUAAAGGCUUGGAAGUUUUCGGCGUAAGGUUCUAUACAAUUCUAAGGGACCUUGAGGUAUGGAAAUCAUGUUUGAUAUUAGGACCACAUUAACAAAUAACUACCGUCUUGGUACAUUGAUAGAGAGAUUCAUCAUGGAAUGUAAUUGCACUGGUGUUUUCUAUUUGCAAUUCCAUUUGUGAUAGCCAAAAGUUAAAGCUUGGACCUAGGUCGGAACCCUUUAUUGUUCAUUGAUAUUUUCUCCGUCAACCAUCAUUGAGUACUGAUAUAUAGCAUGCCUCACAUCACCCUUCUCAGACUUUAAUUACAUUCUUGUCUUUUUUGUUUGUGAUGGUACUUUAUUCAGUUUGAGUUAGAUGGUUGAUAAAUCCCCAUUUGACUUUGGUGUGAUUAGUCAUUAGUUUGUGUGUUAGUAAGUCUUGAGUAAAAGGGAAAUGGUGAAUGGAGGAUUUGUUAAUCAAAUUUUAGCAUUUAGGUCUCCUAGAUUUUUGUGUGUACCGCUGUGGACAGCGGAGGCUGUUUUGAGUUGUUCUAUGCAUUAUAGCAAAUUCCAAUUGACAAGUAGAAUAAUAUCCAGUAUGUUUGACAUGCUCAUUAUUCGAAUCCUUAAUGUACAUAGACAGUUACUUCGUCACAUAAGGAAAAUAUAUGUAUAGAAACAAAAAAGAAACAGACCAUUUUCAUACCAUGUGAAGUACUUGACAAAAGAUAGAGGUAGCAGAUGAACUCGUCCUGCUGGAUCAUUGGUGAGGAUCACCUAUGUCACCCCUCCGCGGGUCACUUGUGUAUGCAUCUUUUGUCCAAGAAGUUACCGCUAGGGAAGCUGUAGUCUGGUUCAAAUAGUCAUACAGAUUCUAUGAGACUGCAUAAACCAAGUUGUUCUCAUGUAUAGAAUAGAUAAAGUGGUGCAAGUGGAGUUUACCCCAGCUUCAUUGAUUUUUCGGGAGGUGCAUCUUUGGUUGGUUGUAAAUGGUCGAGCUGAAGAUGAACCAGUGCAGGUGUGUCAUAUGCAAUGCUGGUAGGAUUUGCACUUGUAUUGCCUUCUGUCACAUCCAUUGUUCCAUGAACCUGACAUUCCGAGAAAAAUGUUUCUUUUGAUUCAACCAUAAUUUUCCCAGGUGACUAUCUAUCUUCUCUCUUUUUAUGUCUGAUAUGAAUUUUAUUUUUGGAAAUACCUUCUUUUGCAUAUUCUUAUUUUCUCUAUGAAUCAGUUCCACCAUACUAAGCAGCUCCAGAUUCUCUUUCUGGAUGAUUUGUCCCUGCAACAGAAUCAUACUUUGUUGGUUGCUUGCUUCCUGGGUAAAAAUGUGAAACAGACUUUGAAAUCUCUAGCCGAACAGGUGUUAGUUUCUGGGUGACCUUCCGGUUAAGUUCUUUGAUUUCGUCAGUGAGUAGCUGGUCCUGCAGAAAGAAAACCAUUUCUAAAUCACAUUUCGGUAAGAUGCAGUUAGUCUUGGCCCACAAUUGUAUGCUUUAUGAGAACUCCAUACCUUUUUCAGACGUAUACUUCUCAAACUUGUUUCAAGCUGGUUUUCUAGAUUCUGUAGAUCAUUGACGUUCAUGCCUGUAAGUUCUUCUCCGAUCAGCUUCCUGCAUAUAUAAGAAAUGUGUAUAUGAAUGCUUUAUGGAGUACAACAUCAUCUCACCGUACCCCAGUUGCAGUUUCUCUCUGUUUCUUAUGAUAAACGAUCAUUACUCUACAAAUAUAUUGUCAUACUGAACCGUAUUUUGUUAUGUACAAGUAGCCACCAUUAAUAUCUAGUGACAACUAAUCGAAGUGUCAUUGGAACAGUGGUUGUUGACAUUGAGAUUCUGAUUUUGUAGGCCGUAGAAACUCUACCUGUGGCAUUCUUGCAAAUAUUGGAGCUGCUGUCGCAGACUUGCGACCUCUCUUUGCCAGAACUGGUAACAUAAAGGAGAAGAAAAGAUUGAUGUUGACAGGAACCUCUGAUUCUUUAUCCAUACCAAGUUAGAUGAAAUAAAAUUAUGUGCUUUUCGACAUAUAGUGUCUCUCUUCUGGAUUAACAUAUGCAUCCACGGCAUAGCAAUUCAACCGAAAACAUGGCUUUUAAGAUAUCUUUAAUCACUGGGCUCUCACAAUCACCCCUAUAUGUUAGUUUCCUUUGUUUUCUUGGAUGCAUGUACAGGUUUGAACCAAGACUCAAGAUGGAUUUGGGCAUGUUUUAGGUGUUUAUAGGUGCUCAAACAUAAAUGCAAUCCUAUACUUCGGUUUUCAUAUUGUAUCUAGUCUUCUCUCUGUUGUGGUUUACCUUGCAAAUAUUUUUUUUAGCCAAUAGAUCCCAUCUCUACAGGUAUUCUCCUUUUGCUAGUGUUAAUAGGCUGACUAGUUUGAAGUAUCUUUCACUACCAUUCUGAACCGCAUUUACUUUUUGGCAGUUAGCAAGACCGUUCUUGUCUUCUCUUUUGAUGGAACGACUUGAAAGAAGGAACGGAGGAGACAACCCCAACUACCAAGUUGGAGAACAAUAUUUCUGAUUCACAAGAUUUUCCUGUAAUCCAAAGGUACGUUUGUAGGAAUUGUCGAACGAAAACGAGGGCAAGUUUCGUUUACUUGCUCGAAAUGUUCAUUCUGUCAGUAAAUUUUAA